CCUACGGGGUGCUGCAGUGAGGAAUAUUGGUCAAUGGACGAGAGUCUGAACCAGCCAAGUAGCGUGAAGGAUGACUGCCCUAUGGGUUGUAAACUUCUUUUAUAUGGGAAUAAAAUGUUCCACGUGUGGGAUUUUGUAUGUACCAUAUGAAUAAGGAUCGGCUAACUCCGUGCCAGCAGCCGCGGUAAUACGGAGGAUCCGAGCGUUAUCCGGAUUUAUUGGGUUUAAAGGGAGCGUAGGUGGAUUGUUAAGUCAGUUGUGAAAGUUUGCGGCUCAACCGUAAAAUUGCAGUUGAAACUGGCAGUCGUGAGUACAGUAGAGGUAGGCGGAAUUCGUGGUGUAGCGGUGAAAUGCUUAGAUAUCACGAAGAACUCCGAUUGCGAAGGCAGCUCACUGGACUGCAACUGACACUGAGGCUCGAAAGUGUGGGUAUCAAACAGGAUUAGAUACCCCUGUAGUC
rnacentral:rRNA from 1 species